rnacentral:lncRNA from 1 species
GAACCCGCAACCUCAUGGUUCCUAGUCAGAUUCGUUAACCACUGCGCCACGAUGGGAACUCCCUGCUACUUUUUAAAGCUCACCAGGUGACUGCGUGUGUAGCUUAGGACGAGGACCAACACUCUGCAUUGCGCCCUAUCAGCAGAGGCCUUUGGCUUGAGGCUCCUUACAGAACCGGGAAAGGAGCUAGACUCACUGUGUCCCCGCGCCCACAGCCCUGCAAGAUGACAGAUUGGCAAGAGACAAGUAUUAGAAGGCCCAGAGACUUGGUUCUAUUUCUGCUUUAUGUGUUCUAGGAAAGGGGAACAGAGCAAGCCCUGUCUUUUUUUUUUUUUUUGGUCUUUUUGCCUUUUCUAGGGCUGCUUCCUCGGCAUAUGGAGAUUCCCAGAGGAGAUGGAAUUACCGUGACUAAGGACCAGACCUAUGAAUCUGCAAAGAGAGGGAACAGCAGCAAAAGGGCACUGGGGGAGUGGGCCAGCACUUGGGGGGACAGGAAAACAGCUGGGAAUGUGGGGAGUCAUUUGGAUUUUAUUCUAAGUGUGACGGGAGCGGGCCAUCAUACUUCUGUUUGAGGAGGAGUGGGUGGGUCCAAUGGGGACUUCGAAAAAACCUCCACUUUUGUGAAGAUCUGGCAACAGGGGAGACCCACUCAGGCUUUCUUAUCUUCUGGGGCAGAUGGUGCCAAAUGAGCAGGUGCAGAAUGCGGUUGACAGACCAGCACUCAGUCCCUCUGGCUGUCCAGCAGCAUGGAAGCAUGGCUGUGGGGCCCUGGACCAAGUGGACAAUCUUCUGAUGGGUGGUUUUCUGCACCCAGACAAGGCUGGUGCUUGGCCGUGGCCUUGCUGUCCCCUCCCCAUGCCUGGCUAACUGGACAGAUGAGGGGUCAGGAGCACUGGACUGGGAAUCAGACUUGGAGCGCAAUCCAUACACAGCGGGGGGAACUGCCUCUUCUCUGGAUCUUGGUUUCUCCAUGUGUCAGGGGCAGGCCAGAUGGGACACCAGGCCUAGGUCUAAGGAUCCUUGCCAGGCCACCCAUCGACAGCCCCAAAGUGUACCUCCAGGGCCACUGUUUUCAGGAAUAUCCGAAUAAAGGAAGGGAGCUCAUUUUGGAGCGCCAUUUAUGUCAGGUGCUAGAUUAGGUGCUGGUUUGGUGGUUCCCCCUCUUCACAAAUAUAAUUGAGUCCUGACAAGGGUGCAGGAGUUAGAUUCCCUUCUAGAUUCUCAUCAUUCGAUGCUACACAAGACAGACAAGGUCUUGGGAGUGGGGGACAGGUAAAAUAAGGGACAAUUAAAAUAAGGGACAAUUUAGUUAAGAGCAGACUUAUGAGAAAAGGAAUCAGGAUGACAGGACGAGGGGGCUUGAUGGAAUCAGGCGCCAGGGGUGAGUGGGUGCAUGAGGGCAGCAUGGGGGUGCCUGGCGGGGUCUGGGGCAAGAGCAACAGGAGAUAAAGUCGAAGAGGUCAGCAGGACCUGGAUGCUGAAGGCCCAUCCUGGAGCCCUGGGGGGUCUGGAGCAAGAGAGGCCCAGAACUCAGUUCACAUCUUCAAAGGGGAGGAAGCAGGGGCCCAGGAAGGGGGGACAGCAACAGGGCCCAGCCCACCAGGUGCCAGAUAGCGGCAUUUGGUGAGCAGAACAGGCCUCUUCUCAGGAGGGGGCUUCUGGGGUAGCGGAUAUUUCAUUCCUGACUAGAAUUUCCGGACCCCCAGGACUAGGCGAGCAACCACUCUGAGGCCAGCUCCAGAGAGCCCAGGCCCAGAAGGCUCCCAGGUGCAGGGGGGGCUGGCACUGGCCAAGCCUGGCCUGGGUUUGACUCCCAUCUCAUUCAUUCAACAAAUAUUUAUUGAGGGCCUACUAUGUGCCAAGCCCUGUGCAGCAGUGGGUUAGACAGGGUCCCUGCUCUAGUGGAGGCGACAGGCAUGACACAGGUCUCAGAAAGUGGUAACUGGUAUAAAAUGAAGGACAGGAACGUGGGGGUGGCUCGUUGAAAUGAUACAAACAGCAAAUGCUUUGUGGACUUUUUCCGGGGCGGGGGUCACUGGGAACCUUAAUCUCUCUGCGGCCUCCGGUUUCCUCAUCAGGAUGGUGGAGGUGAACAUGCAGCUCAGGCCCCCAGGAUCGCUGGGUUCCUGGCAGGCGGGCAGGCUGCUCUUGAUCCCUCUAUGGCUUUCCAUCCCUCCCCAGGAAGAACGUCUCCACAAACUGAGGCUGCUUGUGAGAAAGGGAGAUAAAGCCAAGAUUCCUUGGCCUGCAGGCGGCCACCCACCUGCCCUGCAGGACACUGGAAGAUGGCUUCUCUGUCAGGUUUUGUUCUGGUCACCAGGCCUCUCCCAGGCUCCCAGGGGCUUCUGGAGAAGAGGUGUCAAGCUCUACCACAGCCUGAGGCUGGAGACAGUUCUGGCCUUGCCACCGCCCCCCCCACACACACCCCACCACCUCCCUCCCCAGGCACAUGGGCAGGCCAGCCCUGGGCCCAGGAGACAGCUUCUCUUGGGCUACAAGAGUCACUGGCUCCCUGUCCGAGAAACUUGCCCCCCCCCCCACAGUCCCCAGUGCCACUAACCUCCACUGUUCCCCUCAUCGCAACGCAGUUACUGGAGGACAGCACCUUGCGUCCCAUCCCCCCACACCUGGCCCAGGCAUCUGAGCUGGAGGCUUCUGUUGGGAAGUGAGGUUAGAGCCGCAGAGCCAGACUGUGAAGGGGGCAGGAAGCCACGGCCCUUUGAACCCCCAAAAGGCUGGUGACUGAAGCUCAGAAAAGAUGAGGGGUCAGCCGCCUCAGGCGGCAGCCAGGUCACUGAGGGGAGAGUGAUGGUAGCACCUGAAAGGGGGGAGAGCACAGGUGCAGUGACAAAACCUAGUGGGAUGAGCACUGGUAGGGGUACGGGGAGGCAGGCAGCCCAAUUGGAGGGCACAGAGUGAAUCCUGCCACCAUUCCUGUCAGCGAAUUAACCUGAGCAACAGCCCUGCUACAGCUGUUCAGAAGGACAGGCCAUCUGGACGUGGCCAGGGUGUCCAGAGUUAGCAUCACGCAGCUCCCACCAAGUGAGCCACCCGGGCCAAGGUGGGGGCUUUGUCUCCAUUUGACAUCCUCCUAGGAGUAACUUUCUGGAGAAAAAAUGACCUGGCUUUUAAAGAAUGAAAGGAAUGGGAACUAAAAGGCCUGGAGAAGGGCAGCAUGACUCACCGAGCGCAGGGCCUCUGCUCUGCCUAGAGCCUGCCACCCCAGCUCUGGGAGAAGGCAGAGGCAGGUGGUAGGACCCUCGCUGGAGAUGCGCUACCUGCUCACAUCCAAAGAGAUGGUUCCGAUCUAUGAAUGGCACCUGCUCUCAGCGUGGCCGGCCCACCUCUAGGCUGGGGAUUGUUACCCACGGUCCUAAGCCGUGGUCCCCAGCACUUAGCACUAGGCCGUGGCAAGUCCCGCUGAGGUCCGGUCCUUCCGCACCAAGCAGCACUUAAGUCUGUUCUUUACAAACCGCUGAAGCACAGCAGCACUGGAGGCGCCUGCGCACAGACUGCGUGGGGGACCCCACAGGGAAGGGCAGGUGGGCGGGGCCUCCAGUCUCCCUCCGCGGACCCCUGGAACGCAGGGCAUUUCAGCCCACGUCCCAGCUGCGCAGGGCAUCUCAGCCCAAGUUCCACCACCGCUCAGCCUCAGCAUCAACUCGUCCACUCCUUUGAUCUCGGCUCGUCAGACCCCCGCCCCUAGGAGCUGCCGCAGGUCCUGGGAUGGGGGGGCGGGGAGCGAGGGGCCAGAGGCCCUCCCAAAUCCCCAUUCACGGCUUCACAAUACACAUUUGCAUCUUAAAGGCAACCUUUCCCACAGUCUCCGUCUAGUGAAUUCCCCUUUGUCUCCCCUUAAAUACUGAAAAGCACUUAAUGCCUCUUAUUUACAUUUUAACCCUCAAACUGGGCCUGCCUCCUCUUCCGAGCUCAGGCCAAGGCUGGUGCCAGCCUCUGUUUAAAACAGAUUCUGGAGAGACAGACCCUUUGGCCUCCUUAACUGUUACCCCAGCAGCCAGGAGCCAACUGGGCCUUUCUCACACAAGGGGCUAGUGACCCCACAGCCCCUCUCAGCCUCCAUCCCAGGGCUUUCCCGCCAGAUUACAGGUACCUCGUCUGCCCUUUUGUGCACACACUCAUUUUACGGAGGGUCACACUGAGUCUGCUCAGAGUCCAGGGCAUUUGUGGGAGAGCCAGAGUCCAAGGCAAACCAGGAGAUCCUGACUCCCAGGCUCCCUCCCUGCGGUUGCUGAGCAGGGUACCCAGGGUUGGGGGCUGGCAAAGGAGCAAGGCAGACCCAGCUCUGCACUUGGCAAAGUAGGAUGAGAUGAUGAUGGGUGCUAUGAAGAAAAGAAAGCAGGGUGAUGGGACAGGAAUCCCAGGGUGGUCUCUGGGCCCCACGGCCUGGAGGCUCCUGAGUAAAAGGAGCCAGACCACAGACUCAGGUGGCAGCCCUGGUGUGUGUGAGGAGCAAAAAAGGCCAGUGUGGCAGCACUCCACUGCUGUGCCGAGAGGCCGGAGGCUUGGGGAGAAGUGGCUGGCAGAGCAGGGAGAGGGAAGCAGAAAUCAGGCAGGAACCUGUGCUUUCUGGCUCAAAUCAUCUGUGGAAGUCCCAGGCACUUUUUAGACACCCCAUUGGAAAGGGGGAUGGCAUCUGCCAGUCAAGAGAGAGGGUGGGGCGUCACCAGUGUAUGGAUGGUAUUUGGAGCCCCAGGACUGGAGAAGCUGGCUGAGGGAGAGAGGACUGGCCCAGGGUCUGCCCUCCCGGCCCUGGGGAAGAACUGUCCCUCUCUGUCAGGCCCUGACCGAUUCCAGAUGUGCCUUUUUCGUCAUUUUUCCAUUGGCCACACAAGGCCUCCCCUACAUGUGGCGUCCUUAGAAGGUGGCAGGGGGCCUAACUGGGAGUGUGUGCCUCAAGGGCAUCCCUUAAGGCCUCAGGAACCCAUGCUAGAGUCCUGGAGAACUAGACAAAGCCACUACUUGCCCCUCCAGGCUGUCUCCUCAUCUGUAUAAUGAGACCAGUGGCACGAAAUCACUUGGUGCCAAACAGCCCCCAAAGCCUAGAGCGAGUCUCCCUGAGCCCCAGGCCACAGAGCCACAGGCAGCUCCCACCACCACCGCUGGCAGGCCAAGGAGCCCCCUAGGGCUGGUGCGGACUCCACCUCUUCUGAGCUCUUCUCUCCCAGGUACAGCCAGGCCUUCCCCAGGUGGAGAGCUGUCACCCGGCUCCAUGAUUGCCUCUGACCAGCAGCUCCAGCCCCUGAUCAGCUGCAGGGCCUGCUACUUAGGCCCCGCCCCUUCUGCACUCCACCCAGGUUGAAUAAGAUUUUCUAAAGGGAAAUCUGAAAUCUAGACUGCAUUUUAAUCUGAAAUGGCCCGAUUUUUUAAUCCUGGAACAAUGUAGAUUUGUGUAAAACCCUGGGCCCUGGGUGAGACAGGCAGAGUGUCUCAGAAGCUGGAAGCUGGCCAGUCUGCCCUGAGGAUCAACCAGCUUUCUGAGUGGGCUGCAAGUGACAGACGAGCCCUUCUUUCUUGAAACUCUCUCCUCCUCGACUUCCACAACACCAGCCAUGCCUGGUCUACCCCUUCCUCUCUGACCGUUCUUCCUCAGUCUCCAAAGGAUCAGCCUUCUUUUCUGCCACUCCCACGUCCACCUUCUCCCCCCCUCACCCAGCCUGCUGCUGCGGCCAGCUCCAGAUUCACAUUUCCAGCGACCUGCUCCCCCAGGGUGGCAGGACAGGUUUCAAUACCGGGUGCCCUCGGGAACAUCAUCCUCUACUCUCCCUUUGAUCUUGCAGAGACCCAACCUGGAACCCCAUCCCUGCUCCACCUCUAUGUAACUUGGUCCACCUGUUGCCCACUCCUAGGAGCAGACCCCCCCGGGGGGCACAGCAACUAUAUCUUGCUGCUUCUCUCUCCUUGGGCCCCAGGCUGUACAUACCAUGCAUCUUCCCUCUGCUCCCCAGUGCCCCCCAGGGCUCAGAUCUCAAAGAGCCACCCCCCUCGCUGUUAGGAAAUUCAGAUGGUCUUUUGUCACCUGGGCUGAGAUCUCAAGCCCUCCAGAUUUUCCAGGCCCUGCCAGGACAGCCACUGAGGGGUCCUCCUUCCUGGGAGAGGGCUUGGCCUUCCCUGCAGGAACUUAGGCUGCGAUCCAUCCUCCCUCUCCUACAGGGUGAAGGCUCUGCUCCCCGGGGGGCGCAAAGCCCUUCUGUGACUCUCUCAAAACCCCCACCAGCCUCACCUUUCUAGCCUCAAUUUCCUCCUCUCCUGGGGCCUUAUUCCCUAGCCCUUCGUAGGGGAAAAGGGAGCCAGGCAACUGCUAUGACGCUCAGCAGGGCCGGCGGGGCCAGAAGCCGGAAACGCAUUCCCCUUUAUUGGACCUCACCGCCUCCCGCUCUUCUCACCCUCAGAGCCCUAAUCCACUCUAUGCUCGGGCCUCGGUGCACUGUUUAUUGUCGCCCUUGCCAUGGCCCCAAGAUUUGGGCCUAAAUCACCACUCCAGAGGGAUCCGCCCUCCUCCGGAAGCUGGUCCCUGCGGUCUCAGCUCUCCGAGUAGAGGCUCCUCUGGCUAUGAGAAAGACGGUCCAGCACUUCCUCCUCACCCCCAAUACUGGAUCCAGUGGCAGGACCACCAGAUUUGCACAAGCCUGCGCGGAGGACUUAGCCUGGUACCCAGAGAGGAGACCCCGGCUCUCAACUGCGUUCCCCAAGAGGGAGAGGGGUGUGGCCCAGAACGGGAGCAGUUCCCCUCCCCCAUCCUCUCCGGGAACAGUUCUGGGGGCCGCAGCCUUCCCCUCGCUCACCCAGAGGCCGCCAUUUGGCUUUAGGGGGAAUGGUGGAAGCUACUUACAGACCACACAAUGGGGCACUUGUAGCAUCAGCGGCGCCAGCGGCCAGGAGGUGGGGGGACGGGACAGCUACGUCCCAAGAGAAGCACCUGCGGUCCUCCCCGCUUCUUCCCGCAACGUACCCAGGCCCCCGAGGCCUAACAAGACCGGAGGCGCGCAGACGGAGGGCGCCUGCAUCCGUUCUCCCC